rnacentral:rRNA from 1 species
UACGUAGGCAGCGAGCGUUGUUCGGAGUUACUGGGCGUAAAGGGUGUGUAGGCGGUUGUUUAAGUUUGGUGUGAAAUCUCCCGGCUCAACUGUGAGGGUGCGCCGAAUACUGAAUGACUUGGAGUGCGGGAGAGGUGAGUGGAAUUCCUGGUGUAGCGGUGAAAUGCGUAGAUAUCAGGAGGAACACCGGUGGUGUAGACGGCUCACUGGACCGUAACUGACGCUGAGACACGAAAGCGUGGGUAGCAAACAGG